rnacentral:lncRNA from 1 species
AUGAACAGUCACAGAUAUGCAAUCAAACACCUGCAGUUGAGAUACUAAUUUGCGAACCUAAAUCCCCUUCUCAAGUUAUGUUUAAUAAUCAUCUGGUUUACCAACAAAGAAUAACGUAUUAACAUGCUAACAUCCUAGACGAUGUUGGUGUUAUUCCAAUAUUUAAAAAAUUGUUUAUGCUAUAAAUUAUAUGAAAUGCUUGUCCUUGUACUGUUUUACUUGCACUAUUUUCUAAAGAAUAAUGUAGUUGUAAAUAAAAUCGGAGCAGUAAUUAAAAUAUUAUCACCAUUUGUUUGGAGUUCAGUGUAACAGACAAAAGCUUUUCCAUCUUUCAAAAUUCAGAAUCUUAGCCGGAUACCAUGUUUCUUUAUGAGUACCACCACCUUUAAAGACCUACUUCAUUGAUAGUCAAGUAUUUUCAUUUGUAAGCAUAAAAAAUGACCAGAUAACUGAAAAUGUGAGUUUAACAAACAAAAUAUUACUUAUUAUGACCAAUCCAGUUCUUCGUAGUUAGCAUAGCAAUAAGUGGUUAUAGAAGUACUGCAUAAAGUAAAGGAACUGAAGCAAAGAUUAAACAUGAAAUAAUUUUUUCCACUAACCUCAACAAGGCAACCUUCUACCAUUCCAUUCUCAAAUGCUGUCCCUGAUGCAGUUUUGUAAGCAUCUCCAGAUGCAACAGCUUCGGAGUUGGUUCCACAGUAUGAUUCAGGAACAGUGUUGAUGGUUCUGGCAGUGUCAAAUGCUCUGUGACAUCUUUGAGUCCUAGAUGAGUUCUUUC